rnacentral:rRNA from 1 species
CAGCCGCCACGGGAAUACGUAGGGUGCGAGCGUUAAUCGGAAUUACUGGGCGUAAAGCGUGCGCAGGCGGUUCGUUAAGACAGAUGUGAAAUCCCCGGGCUUAACCUGGGAACUGCAUUUGUGACUGGCGAGCUAGAGUAUGGCAGAGGGGGGUAGAAUUCCACGUGUAGCAGUGAAAUGCGUAGAGAUGUGGAGGAAUACCGAUGGCGAAGGCAGCCCCCUGGGCCAAUACUGACGCUCAUGCACGAAAGCGUGGGGAGCAAACAGGAUUAGAUACCCCAGUAGUCCCUGUCUCUUAUAC